GAGUCAGAUCGUGUUUGAAAUGUGGCCGCAAGAUUAGACAUCUGACGUCAAUGGGCGAUGAACAGCAGUUCUCCACGGCCUUCCACUCUUCCUUGAAAUGGACCUUGCUGAUUUUUACAAGACAAGUUUUGACUAUGAUGAAGAAGAGAUGUCAGUCGGCCUAUUGAGCGUGAUCCCUGAGCUGAGGACUCUAGAGCCAUACCUAACUCACUGCUUUU